AACAAAGCAGCAGUGGGAGAGGUCCCUGGGCAUUUCCUAGUGUCCUCAGUUCCUGGGAGGAGAAGGGUUGAGAAAGGUGCCGCAGGAAAGGACCAUCCAACUCCAGGAGAUUUCACUGAACAACCUCUAACGACCUUGAUGCAAACUCCCAGGUGUUUGUUUUUAGUGGGAAAGGAUUCAGGACCUCUCAAGAGUACAAUUACUGAAAUCAGCAUGGCAUUUCCCAUGGCAGACCACGUAAGGAAAAGUUGCAUUCACAUUUCUAGUCCAUCUUCAGUGUUGUUCUCGAGCAUUUGCCCAUAGAUUAUGCCAGAUGAGAUUUUUCUGCACACUGGGAUGCAUCAUUGGCCUAAAGGGUUUAUUUUGUGAUAUAUUAAAAUGUUUUUGGAUGUCA